rnacentral:lncRNA from 13 species
AGGCAAAUUCCUCCAGUCAGCAUCUGCCGUGCAGCACCGCCACCAGAAGGAACGUAAAACCAGAGACCUGCUUUGGGUGCUGACCUGAACGUCAAGGUUGCUGACUUUGGCUUCGGAGCUGAGUUCUUCUCUGGCGUCAAGCUAGAUACCUUCUGUAGCAGGCCCCUCUAUACGGCUUCAGAACUCUUCUAGGACCAAAGUAUAACGAACGGCCCUUUGGUGGAGGUGUGCAGCCUGGGAGUCAUUCUCUAUGCUCUGGUCACUGAGUCCCUGCCUUUUAAUGGACAUAACUUCAGAGAGCUGCAGAAAUGGUGAAAACUAUCGAAGAGUCAUCUCUUAUCUACAUCAGAAAUGUCAGCAUUAUAGAUGAUGCCUGGUCAUUCAGAGAGGACCUCACCUACUCUUGUACAGCAAAGGAAAAAACGCAAUAGAUUUCUCUUGAUUCCAAAAAGCCUCUGCUCUUAGGUCACCUGUACAAGGUAAUUACUGCCCCAGUUACUCUCUUGAUGUCACUGUAUGUCCCAAAUGUUAUCUUCAGUAUUUAAUUUCAAUAUUUUAUGAUGCUCAUAGACUUUUACAAUCCUGUAGGUAAAAAGGUCUUUACAGACCACCCAUGGUGGCUCCUGCCUAUAAUCCUACACUUUGAGAGGCCAAGGUAGGAGAUUCCUUCAGCCCAGGAGUUUGAGACCAGUUUGGGCAACAUAGAAAGAUCCUGUUUCUACACAAAAUACAAAGA